GGGGUUGUACUGGUUUCGACGGGGAUUUAGAAAUUAUGGAAGCCAUCAGUGGACCAGAACCACUAUAAAACAUGGAAUUAAAUAUAAACGCAGACGAAAAUUACGCGUACGCUGCCUAAUUAAGGCAGCUGUCAGGCCUGAGCUCCCCGCGGCUUAGGACCCUGGCAUCAAACUUGCGGGAAACUCCGGGGCCAAAGCUUUGCGGUUUCGGAAAAUAUAUGAAGCUACCAAACGGGGCAGCCUGUCUAUGGGCGUCCUCGCGAGGGAAUGUUAAAUCAUAGACUGUGAUGGGAGAUGCCAUAAUGGAAGAGUCUUCGGACGCGGGUUCGAUUCCCGCCAGCUCCAU
rnacentral:tmRNA from 1 species